rnacentral:lncRNA from 1 species
UUUCUAGUAGGAGUAUAAAUUGAUAUAAUGCUUGUAGGGAUAAUAUAGUAGUGUCUAGAGUGAUUUUGCUAGAUACAGUCUUGCCCCAGCGAUUUCACUUCUAGGUGUCUUUGUUAAAGUGAAGAAAAAGAGAGCAAGCUGUGGAACAUUUUGCAUGGUAUGCUGCCAUUUGUUGGGGGUGGAGGAGUGCUGUCUCUCAAAGGAUACAUAGGAAGGUUGUUACAGCAGUUG